rnacentral:rRNA from 1 species
UGUGUAGGCGGUUCUCUAAGUUUGGUGUGAAAUCUCCCGGCUCAACUGGGAGGGUGCGCCGAAAACUGGAGGGCUAGAGUGCGGGAUGGGAGAGUGGAAUUCCUGGUGUAGCGGUGAAAUGCGUAGAUAUCAGGAGGAACACCUGUGGUGUAGACGGCUCUCUGGACCGCAACUGACGCUGAGACACGAAAGCGUGGGUAGCAAACA